AUGUUCAGCUAUAAUUUCUGUUGGUUGUCCCAUGUAAUUAUGGAUUUACUGGAAAUUGUUAUUUUUGAUGCAUUACAUGCAUGGUUAUUGAAGCUGGAGUCUUGUGCGACUUUAUGCAUAGGAUACCAACCACUGAUGAUGAGGUACAAGUACAGGCUUCACUUGUAAAUAGAAUAUUGGGUCAAGUAGCACCCAGGCCAGCUAUGAAACUAUCCAGACCCAACAACAUGAUCUGUUUUGACAUCACUAUGGGGUGCUGUCAGAAUCCAUUGAUGCCUGUCGGAUAUUUGUGUGUUUCAGUUGCUAGUUGCAGGACUGUAGAUUCCUAUAUGCAUGUGAAAAUAGCUGGUUAUUGGAUGGGACCUGAUAUUGAAGAUGGUUGGGGUUUUGUUGAGGCUGCUGUGGAUCGAAGAAUUUGAUUGUUGAUAGGAGACAUGUCAAAAUGUGCUGUUUUCCCUGAAUAUUUUUCUGCUGCAUCUUAGUUUAAUGCUACUUGCCAAUUAUAAUCAUGAAACCAGUGUUUCCAGUUCAAGAGCAUGAUGAAUGAUAUCUGAAGAUUUCAACAAAAGAACUAGUAUAGCAAAUUGGUUUGAUGGAUAUACACCUGCACCUGGACACAUCUCAGAGGCCCUGAUCAAAGAAAUUGGGGUGAUAAAGAGAGACUUGCAUAGGGGAAAGCGAGCAGAGUACUGAAGCUUACUGCCAUCAGCAUUCGCAUGGUUGAGUUCCACAGGCAAGGUCGACUUAUGUAAGUUUUAUGUGUUUUGGAUGAUGUAAAACUUAUCUUAUGAAAACUGUCAUGGCAGACAUGGGUCAUGCAUCAACAUUUCUGAUGUUUGUCUA